AGUGGCGAACGGGUGAGUAAUAUAUCGGAACGUGCCCAGUCGUGGGGGAUAACGUAGCGAAAGUUACGCUAAUACCGCAUACGAUCUACGGAUGAAAGCGGGGGAUCGCAAGACCUCGCGCGAUUGGAGCGGCCGAUAUCAGAUUAGGUAGUUGGUGGGGUAAAGGCUCACCAAGCCAACGAUCUGUAGCUGGUCUGAGAGGACGACCAGCCACACUGGAACUGAGACACGGUCCAGACUCCUACGGGAGGCAGCAGUGGGGAAUUUUGGACAAUGGACGCUAGUCUGAUCCAGCCAUUCCGCGUGCAGGAUGAAGGCCCUCGGGUUGUAAACUGCUUUUGUACGGAACGAAAAGGUUUCCAUUAAUACUGGGAGCUCAUGACGGUACCGUAAGAAUAAGCACCGGCUAACUACGUGCCAGCGGCCGCGGUAAUACGUAGGGUGCAAGCGUUAAUCGGAAUUACUGGGCGUAAAGCGUGCGCAGGCGGUUAUGUAAGACAGAGGUGAAAUCCCCGGGCUCAACCUGGGAACUGCCUUUGUGACUGCAUAGCUAGAGUACGGUAGAGGGGGAUGGAAUUCCGCGUGUAGCAGUGAAAUGCGUAGAUAUGCGGAGGAACACCGAUGGCGAAGGCAAUCCCCUGGACCUGUACUGACGCUCAUGCACGAAAGCGUGGGGAGCAAACAGGAUUAGAUACCCUGG
rnacentral:rRNA from 1 species